CUUCUUUUUCCCUGGGAGGAGAGGGAAGUGCUAGUGCGCGGGGAAGAGCUCGUAGCCCCGCCCCCUCAGCCGUUGCCGACCGUUGCUAAGAGCCGCUUCCGCUUCCCUCGCUUUUACCUCAGGGCGGUUGAGUAGCGAAGAGCCGCCGCCAGAGUGGCAACGACAACAGAAACAGAAAUAAUUACACAAAGAAGCCACCGUGGCAUUAUACAAACAGAAAUUUAUCCUGAUGCUAAGAAACGGUGGCACAGCCUGAGUUCCAGAAAAGGGGCUGAAUUUUGUGCCUUCCAAAAGACAAAAGAAUGAUCAUCAGUCUGAAGAGAAAGGAAAAGGAAGAGAAGCUGCAAGGUGAUUGAUCCACCAUCAGCACCUACAGAAUUGUCUCCAUGUAUCAGAAGCACAGAGCCUUGUUCUCAUUGCAUCAGUUUGCUGCUAACGCAACCCAUUCCAUUGGAUACAUGUCCCUUAACUGUCAUUCAUUUGCUGUCAAAUCAGACCCUGGUUCACCCUGGAAGAAAAAAGAUGGCAAGAAGUCCAUGAGGCAUUUUCACGGGAUUGGAGACUAAUACUAAGAUCUCAGCCAUCACACUUACCUUCGGUCCAGAGGGUCCAGGAGGGCCUGGUUUUCCUGCUGCACCCUAGUAAGAAGGAAAAGGGAAGCAAUAAUCAUGGAGAUAAAGACUCACCAUGCUUUGCCCCACAGACAUGCUCAGGGCAGGCUUCUUCUGGCACUGCCCCCCCCCCCCUGCCAAAGAGGCAAGGUCUUCAAGACGACUGCAGAGACCACAAUUACCAUACCUCUUUGCCCACUUGUCCAUCUGAGCCUGACUCGCCCUAGGAAUCAACCGGGGGGGGGGGGGGGAGAGAGAAGCAAAAGGUUAUUUUCUUUUCAUUUUGAAUCUAGGCCCAUAAAUCAUGGUUUGUAACAAUCUCA